rnacentral:rRNA from 1 species
AAAUUGAAGAGUUUGAUCAUGGCUCAGAUUGAACGCUGGCGGCAGGCCUAACACAUGCAAGUCGAACGGUAGCACAGAGGAGCUUGCUCCUUGGGUGACGAGUGGCGGACGGGUGAGUAAUGUCUGGGAAACUGCCCGAUGGAGGGGGAUAACUACUGGAAACGGUAGCUAAUACCGCAUAACGUCGCAAGACCAAAGAGGGGGACCUUCGGGCCUCUUGCCAUCGGAUGUGCCCAGAUGGGAUUAGCUAGUAGGUGGGGUAACGGCUCACCUAGGCGACGAUCCCUAGCUGGUCUGAGAGGAUGACCAGCCACACUGGAACUGAGACACGGUCCAGACUCCUACGGGAGGCAGCAGUGGGGAAUAUUGCACAAUGGGCGCAAGCCUGAUGCAGCCAUGCCGCGUGUAUGAAGAAGGCCUUCGGGUUGUAAAGUACUUUCAGCGAGGAGGAAGGCGUUAAGGUUAAUAACCUUAGCGAUUGACGUUACUCGCAGAAGAAGCACCGGCUAACUCCGUGCCAGCAGCCGCGGUAAUACGGAGGGUGCAAGCGUUAAUCGGAAUUACUGGGCGUAAAGCGCACGCAGGCGGUUUGUUAAGUCAGAUGUGAAAUCCCCGGGCUCAACCUGGGAACUGCAUUUGAAACUGGCAAGCUUGAGUCUCGUAGAGGGGGGUAGAAUUCCAGGUGUAGCGGUGAAAUGCGUAGAGAUCUGGAGGAAUACCGGUGGCGAAGGCGGCCCCCUGGACGAAGACUGACGCUCAGGUGCGAAAGCGUGGGGAGCAAACAGGAUUAGAUACCCUGGUAGUCCACGCCGUAAACGAUGUCUAUUUGGAGGUUGUUCCCUUGAGGAGUGGCUUCCGGAGCUAACGCGUUAAAUAGACCGCCUGGGGAGUACGGCCGCAAGGUUAAAACUCAAAUGAAUUGACGGGGGCCCGCACAAGCGGUGGAGCAUGUGGUUUAAUUCGAUGCAACGCGAAGAACCUUACCUACUCUUGACAUCCAGAGAACUUAGCAGAGAUGCUUUGGUGCCUUCGGGAACUCUGAGACAGGUGCUGCAUGGCUGUCGUCAGCUCGUGUUGUGAAAUGUUGGGUUAAGUCCCGCAACGAGCGCAACCCUUAUCCUUUGUUGCCAGCGGUUCGGCCGGGAACUCAAAGGAGACUGCCAGUGAUAAACUGGAGGAAGGUGGGGAUGACGUCAAGUCAUCAUGGCCCUUACGAGUAGGGCUACACACGUGCUACAAUGGCAUAUACAAAGAGAAGCGACCUCGCGAGAGCAAGCGGACCUCAUAAAGUAUGUCGUAGUCCGGAUUGGAGUCUGCAACUCGACUCCAUGAAGUCGGAAUCGCUAGUAAUCGUAGAUCAGAAUGCUACGGUGAAUACGUUCCCGGGCCUUGUACACACCGCCCGUCACACCAUGGGAGUGGGUUGCAAAAGAAGUAGGUAGCUUAACCUUCGGGAGGGCGCUUACCACUUUGUGAUUCAUGACUGGGGUGAAGUCGUAACAAGGUAACCGUAGGGGAACCUGCGGUUGGAUCACCUCCUUACCUUAAAGAAGC